rnacentral:misc_RNA from 1 species
CUCAAAUCGUGUUUAGAUGCGAUUGCGCAUCAGACAGUAAAGCCACACCAGGUCAUAAUCGUUAAUAACAAUUCAGUCGAUGGGACAGUUGAAAUAGCCGAAGAAUAUCCUUUCGUCACGCUCCUGCAUGAAAAGCGUCAGCACCAGGCAUUCGCACAGUGGACGGGCUUUGAGAAGGUACAGGCCGAUAUAGUUGGUAGAAUUGACGGCGAUACCGUGUUGCCACGUGACUGGGUUCAAAAAGUGCUUAGGCAGUUUUCGGACGAAAAGAUU